GUUUUAAUAGUUUAAAUUAAAACAAUGAUUUUGUAAAUCAUAAUUGGUUUUACCUUAAAACU
rnacentral:tRNA from 1 species